rnacentral:misc_RNA from 1 species
GUAGGUGAACCUGCGGAAGGAUCAUUAACACAUCUCCACACUUACCUGGGAUUUUUUUUUCCUUAAAAAUCUCAGGUAUUUCAAACCCCCCUUUUUAAAAGCGAACAUUGGUUUGGGAACGCACGUACAUACGCCGUUCCCGCUUUUUUCCCUUUUUCUUUUACAAAAAACCCAAUUGAAACAUUCUGACUGAAAACUUUUAUUCUACCGUGAAAGCGAUAGAAUACACUAUGAAUUGUGAAAAACAACUCUUAGCAACGGAUAUCUUGGCUCUC